rnacentral:tRNA from 1 species
CGGGGCGUAGCGCAGUCUGGUAGCGCACCUGGUUUGGGACCAGGGGGCCCCCGGUUCGAAUCCGGGCGCCCCGACCA